AUACGGAGGAUCCAAGCGUUAUCCGGCUUUAUUGGGUUUAAAGGGUGCGCAGGCGGUAUUAUAAGUCAGUGGUGAAAUCUGGAGGCUCAACCUCCAAACUGCCAUUGAUACUGUAGUACUAGAGUACAGCCGAAGUAGGCGGAAUGUAGCAUGUAGCGGUGAAAUGCUUAGAUAUGCUACAGAACACCGAUCGCGAAGGCAGCUUACUAGACUGUUACUGACGCUAAUGCACGAAAGCGUGGGGAGCGAACAGGAUUAGAGACCCUAGUAGUCC
rnacentral:rRNA from 1 species